UAGGAGACAGAUCUCAGUGAGGUCAGGAU
rnacentral:piRNA from 1 species